rnacentral:lncRNA from 1 species
UCUAAUAAUUAUCAACAGGUUUUCCUCAUCUAAGGCCUAUUAUCUUAGAUGGAUGCAUGAGUCUAGGUGCCACACAACUAAUUAAAAAAAUGAUACUUAAAUCAUUGCAGAAAUAAGUAAGGGCAUUGUUAUAUCUACCGAGCAAGUCCUCGUAUGUAUCUUGGAAGCAUGAUUCCAUUAGCAAUGGAGGUGAGAACACUUGAUCCAGAUUAUCAUCAAUGUCGGUAAAUGUGCUCCAUGCAUUACCAAGGGCUGGCUGAAGUAGCUCUGCCUGUUUUUUAUAAUCAUCAAGUCCAUUCAAUUUAUAUGACUUAACUUGCACUGAAUUUAACUGGCUCCUGGUGUUAGAAGGGAGAUCUUUUGUAUUCCUGGAGACAUGGAUUUCUGGUGGAGAGAAAACCAGUUGCUGUUUUCUUCGAUUUGGAACGGCAUCUACCUCUUUUUCGGGAAACACCUGUUGAGAGAGG